rnacentral:tRNA from 1 species
GCCAUUAUACCGGCGAUAGCUCAGUGGGUAAAGCGCCAGGUGAGAAGAUGGCGAUUACUCCGAGAGCUAUUAUCCGCGCGGGUUCGAAUCCCGCCUGUGGCA